rnacentral:rRNA from 1 species
GACGAACGCUGGCGGCGUGCUUAACACCUGCAAGUCGAGCGGAGCGGCGAACGGGUUAGUAACGCGUUAGUAACUGCCCCCCUCUCUUGGAUAACAGUUGGAAACGGCUUCUACUACCGGAUAGUGGGGGAUGACUCGCGUCCUAUCAGCUUGUUGGUGGGGUAGUGGCCUACCAAGGCGACGACGGGUAGCCGGCCUGAGAGGGAGACCGGCCACAGUGGGCUGAGAUACGGACCAAACUCCGACGGGAGGCAGCAGUGGGGAAUAUUGCACAAUGGGGGAAACGCUGAGGCAGCAACGCCGCGAGCGGGAGGACGGCCGUCGGGUUGUAAACCGCUUUCAGCCAUGACGCGGUAGUGGCAGAAGAAGCACCGGCUAACUACGGGCCAGCAGCCGCGGUAAUUC